rnacentral:rRNA from 1 species
AACGAACGCUGGCGGCGUGCCUAACACAUGCAAGUCGAGGGGCAGCACAGAAACAGCAAUGUUUUGGUGGCGACCGGCGGACGGGUGCGUAACGCGUAUGCAACCUACCUUUAACAGGGGGAUAACGGAGAGAAAUUUCCACUAAUACCCCAUAACAUCGAUCAAGGCAUCUUGAUUGGUUGAAAACUCCGGUGGUUAAAGAUGGGCAUGCGUUGUAUUAGGUAGUUGGUGAGGUAAUGGCUCACCAAGCCUACGAUACAUAGGGGGACUGAGAGGUUAGCCCCCCACACUGGUACUGAGACACGGACCAGACUCCUACGGGAGGCAGCAGUGAGGAAUAUUGGUCAAUGGGGGCAACCUUGAACCAGCCAUGCCGCGUGCAGGAAGACGGCUCUAUGAGUUGUAAACUCCUUUUAAACAGGGAUAAAGCACAGUAUGUAUACUGUGUUGAAGGUACUGUAAGAAUAAGGAUCGGCUAACUCCGUGCCAGCCGCCGCCGUAA